CCUACGGGUGGCAGCAGUGGGGAAUAUUGGACAAUGGGCGAAAGCCUGAUCCAGCCAUGCCGCGUGUGUGAAGAAGGCCUUCGGGUUGUAAAGCACUUUCAGUGGGGAAGAAAGCCUUGGGGCUAAUACCCUCGAGGAAGGACAUCACCCACAGAAGAAGCACCGGCUAACUCCGUGCCAGCAGCCGCGGUAAUACGGAGGGUGCGAGCGUUAAUCGGAAUUACUGGGCGUAAAGCGCGCGUAAGCGGUCUGAUAAGCCGGUUGUGAAAGCCCCGGGCUCAACCUGGGAACGGCAUCCGGAACGGUCAGGCUAGAGUGCAGGAGAGGAAGGUAGAAUUCCGGGUGUAGCGGUGAAAUGCGGAGAGAUCGGGAGGAAUAACAGUGGCGAAGGCGGCCUUCUGGACUAACACUGACGCUGAGGUGCGAAAGCGUGGGUAGCAAACAGGAUUAGAUACCCUUGUAGUC
rnacentral:rRNA from 1 species